UGUUAUUGUUCAGUUUCUCAGUGUAUCCAGCUCUUUGAGACCCAAUGGACUGCAGCACCCCCGGCUUCCCUGUCCUUCACUAUCUCCUGCAGCCUGCUCAAACUCCCGUCCAUUGAGUCUGAGAUGCUAUUGAACUAUCUCAUCCUCCGUUGCCCCCUUCUCCUU